rnacentral:misc_RNA from 1 species
CCAAUAGCGUAUAUUAAAGUUGUUGCAGUUAAAAAGCUCGUAGUUGAAUUUCGGGGUUAGUAGGUUGGUCAUGCCUCUGGUAUGUACUGGUCUCACUGAUUCCUCCUUCCUGAUGAACCUUAAUGCCAUUAAUUUGGUGUUUUGGGGAAUUUGGACUGUUACUUUGAAAAAAUUAGAGUGUUUAAAGCAAGCUAACGCUUGAAUACAUUAGCAUGGAAUAAUGAAAUAGGACGUUCGAUCCUAUUUUGUUGGUUUCUAGGAUUGACGUAAUGAUUAAUAGGGAUAGUUGGGGGCAUUAGUAUUCAAUUGUCAGAGGUGAAAUUCUUGGAUUUAUUGAAGACUAACUACUGCGAAAGCAGUUGCCAAGGAUGUUUUCAUUAAUCAAGAACGAAAGUUAGGGGAUCGAAGACGAUCAGAUACCGUCGUAGUCUUAACCAUAAACUAUGCCGACUAGGGAUCGGAUGAUGUUAAUUUUUUAAUGACUCAUUCGGCGCCUUACG